rnacentral:rRNA from 1 species
UACGAAGGGGGCUAGCGUUGUUGGGAUUUACUGGGCGUAAAGAGCGUGUAGGCGGGUCGUUAAGUUGGGGGUGAAAUCCCGGAGCUCAACUCCGGAACUGCCUUCAAAACUGGCGACCUGGACUCAAGCAGAGGCAAGUGGAAUUGCGAGUGUAGAGGUGAAAUUCGUAGAUAUUCGCAGGAACACCAGUGGCGAAGGCGACUUGCUGGGCUUGUAGUGACGCUGAGGUGCGAAACCGUGGGGAGCAAACAGG